GUGCUCGAUCUGCUGCGGACAGAUGAAAUGGAUGUGGCUGUCGAAGCCGCCAGCGGUGAGGAUUUUUCCUUCGCCUGCGAUCACGUCGGUGCCGGGACCGAUGAUGAUGGUGACAUUGGGCUGGAUGUCGGGAUUGCCGGCCUUGCCGAUCGCCGCGAUCAUGCCUUCCUUGAUCGCGACAUCGGCUUUGACGAUGCCCCAGUGAUCGACGAUCAGCGCAUUGGUGAUGACGGUGUCGGCCGCGCCCUGCGCAUUGGUCACCUGCGACUGUCCCAUGCCGUCGCGGAUCAC
rnacentral:sRNA from 1 species